rnacentral:rRNA from 1 species
AGAACUUAGCAGAGAUGCUUUGGUGCCUUCGGGAACUCUGAGACAGGUGCUGCAUGGCUGUCGUCAGCUCGUGUUGUGAAAUGUUGGGUUAAGUCCCGCAACGAGCGCAACCCUUAUCCUUUGUUGCCAGCGGUUAGGCCGGGAACUCAAAGGAGACUGCCAGUGAUAAACUGGAGGAAGGUGGGGAUGACGUCAAGUCAUCAUGGCCCUUACGAGUAGGGCUACACACGUGCUACAAUGGCGCAUACAAAGAGAAGCGACCUCGCGAGAGCAAGCGGACCUCAUAAAGUGCGUCGUAGUCCGGAUUGGAGUCUGCAACUCGACUCCAUGAAGUCGGAAUCGCUAGUAAUCGUGGAUCAGAAUGCCACGGUGAAUACGUUCCCGGGCCUUGUACACACCGCCCGUCACACCAUGGGAGUGGGUUGCAAAAGAAGUAGGUAGCUUAACCUUCGGGAGGGCGCUUAUCACUUUGUGAUUCAUGACUGGGGUGAAGUCGUAACAAGGUAAGCGUAGUGCU